GAUGAAGAACGCAGCGAAACGCGAUAUGUAAUGUGAAUUGCAGAAUUCAGUGAAUCAUCGAAUCUUUGAACGCACAUGGCGCCUUCCAGUAUCCUGGGAGGCAUGCCUGUCCGAGCGUCGUUUCAACCCUCGAGCCCCCGUGGCCCGGCGUUGGGGAUCUGCCCAGGCAGUCCCCGAAAACCAGUGGCGGACCCGUUACAGGCCCUUCCCUUGCGUAGUAGCAUUCGCCUCGCAUCGGGAGCCGGCGGGCUUCCAGCCUCUAAACCCCCAUCAAGUCCGCCCCGGCGGCACCAAGGUUGACCUCGGAUCAGGUAGGAAUACCCGCUGAACUUAAGCAUAUCAAUAAGCGGGAGGA
rnacentral:misc_RNA from 1 species